CGCCACCGUUGGAAUUUCUUGAUGUUUGCUGCAGUCUUGUGAAAGCUGCUGCUGCAGCAAGGGGCAAGCCUCCCGCAGAGUCUCUGCAGCCUCAUGCUGUACUGUCUGUGAUACAGCCAUCCCACCGUACAGAUGAAGGUGAGAAUAAAAAAGUUUUGAGGAUUUAUUUAUUUUGGAGUUUGGAGAUAGAUGUUCAUCUACUGUGCUGAAGGAAGGUGAGAUAAAAAUGGGUACUGAUUUACCUUUAGUACCUUAAAAUGUUUCCUUUAUAUUUUUCUCUUGAACUAUCAGGCUUUUAAGGGGCUUGUUCACACUUAGAUGCUGUAAUCUGAAGACGAAACACGAGGCUGUGGCUGUUUACCUCACAGACUGAGCCGCAGACAGGAAAUGCUCAGUGGCAGGCGGAGGCUGGGGUCUUUCUCCGACGCGACGCCGUCCCCACAUCAGACUUUCCUCUAGGUUGGGUGUGGGAAUCGCUCCAGCAACACCCUUCUUUAGUGGACCCAAAAGCCACCCCCGGCUGACUGGAGCUGUUUGUGGGCCAACUGCUGCCUGUGUCUGAAGGCCUUUGUGCCUGCUUGUGGUUUUGCUCACAAACCUGUAUCAGAAAACACAAUUGCAUGAUGCAGCUAUCCAGUAUGUUUAGUUUCCUACUUUUGUUGUAUUUUAAAUUCAGGGCAAACAUAAAUUAUAUUGAGAGUCUUACACUACCUAGUUUUGCUCCCUGGAGAGCCUUUGGGAAGUACGGGGUGUUUUGGAAUCUUACCUCCCUCUAGCUCUUUUCCCUACUCCAGCUUUUCCUAUAGCAGAGAGAGAAUGUUCGUUAAAGCAAAGUGAGCUGUUGCUCAGGAGAAAUUAAUGCCUUCGGGAAAAGCUAUGAAAGAGAGUUACAAACAUUUUGGACAAAUUAUGUUCUGGAAAGCUGUCCCAGACAUGUAGUCUUAUCCUUCUAUUUGACAUCAACGACCAGCCCAGAUGAGUGGGCAUCUGGAGGGCUGGAACUGGGGGCAGGGUAGUUAAAGGACUUGGGUGGGGCUCCCCUUAGUUCAACCGGGGAUGUGCACAUUGUAUGGACUCACAGGCAGCAACCUGUCCUGGCUAGGAUGCUGGGGGGCACUGAGAGGAUUCUUCCCCACCCCACAGCGGAUUCCGGGGCCCAACCGAGGAGAAUUAAUCCCUGUGUUUCUGCCUGCAGCUUCUGGCCCCUUGGCUCUGAGGACAAAGGCACAUGAAGGCCUUUCUCAGCUUCUGCUGUACCUUUUGUGGCCCAGAGAUGUCCCAGCUGAUUGGAGGUAAUUUAACUAAAUGUCACUCACCAUACCAUCCGGACAGAGACAGAAGUAUUUAAAUCAGGCCCUAAAGGGCUCUCCAUGCACCUCUGGAGAAAUAGCUGCUGAUACACAUAAAGCUGCUACUUAGUACCAGUUUGCAGCCUCCCGUAUUUCAGAGGGGGCUGGCAACACUGAUUAUGGCCACCCCUUCUCGGGGAGGGUCAGCAGAGGCCCGGAGGAGAAGGGAGGAGGCUCAUCUCUCAUCUAGGUGGCUGAUCAGAGUCAGGGCACCAGAUUUCUCACUGCUCAGGACACCACCCUGGGGUAUCACCAGAGCUGGGUCUGCGGUUGUUCAAUCUGCCCCCUCCUGCUCCCUUCCUCACUGGAGACUGGCACCAUUCAUCCUUUGCAGCAGCAAUUCCCGUGGAUUUUGCAAUUUGAGAGAUCACUUUUCCUUUAACAAAGGGGGAGGGGCAAACCUGAAUACCACCCCCGUCCCUGCCUGAUAGCCUGUCCACUUCUGCUUCAUUCCUAGUCACCCUCUAAGUUAGGGACUGGGUUGUUCCAUCCUUGCCCACGCUCUGACUGUGGCUUCCAACUUUGGCUUCCUCUAGGGGCCCCACCAUCACUGUGCAGAUGAGCUGCCGCAGGUCUGGGCACGGCCCUCGGGGGCGUGGGCGGGGAGGGGAGAGCGGAGGUGGGGCACCGCAGAGCCUUGGUUGGCAGGGACAGGCUUGGUGAUGAUGCCCAGGGCAGGCAGUAUUUCCAGACGGACCUGAGGAGCCUGACCUACUGGUCAGUGAUGUGUUUGCUGACAGGGCUGCUGCCUCACCGGUGCCUUCUGACUCAGGAGUUCCUACUGAAGGGAAAAGCUUCCCGAGUGCACCUGAAAACCGAAUUGUGCGGUAGCACAGCUCCUAGUUACCAACUCCGCUGUUUCCAACCCUGCACGGUGGAAGUGGGAUGACUGGAAGCUGAAGGUUCAUGCCUGGAUGGACAGGUUGAGAAGCCAACUCCCCCAAACACUUCUGCUGAGUAGGUAGAUGAAGAUGUGACAAACUGGGCAACAUUUUUAUGUUUCAAACCACAGUGAGCUCAGAGCUUGGAGUUGCAAUUUAUGUCCUCUGUCAGAAUAAAACAAUCUCACAAGAA